GAUCGGUGCAGCGGCGGCAGCAAUGCGGUCGAUGUACUGGUCUG
rnacentral:pre_miRNA from 1 species